CCUACGGGAGGCUGCAGUGGGGAAUAUUGGACAAUGGGGGGAACCCUGAUCCAGCCAUGCCGCGUGUGUGAAGAAGGCCCUCGGGUUGUAAAGCACUUUCAGUGAGGAAGAACGCCUGGUGGUUAAUACCCAUCAGGAAAGACAUCACUCACAGAAGAAGCACCGGCUAACUCCGUGCCAGCAGCCGCGGUAAUACGGAGGGUGCGAGCGUUAAUCGGAAUUACUGGGCGUAAAGCGCGCGUAGGUGGCUUGAUAAGCCGGUUGUGAAAGCCCCGGGCUCAACCUGGGAACGGCAUCCGGAACUGGCAAGCUAGAGUGCAGGAGAGGAAGGUAGAAUUCCCGGUGUAGCGGUGAAAUGCGUAGAGAUCGGGAGGAAUACCAGUGGCGAAGGCGGCCUUCUGGACUGACACUGACACUGAGGUGCGAAAGCGUGGGUAGCAAACAGGAUUAGAUACCCCUGUAGUC
rnacentral:rRNA from 1 species